rnacentral:rRNA from 1 species
ACGUAAGGGACGAGCGUUGUCCGGAUUUACUGGGCGUAAAGGGCGCGUAGGCGGUCAUUUAAGUCAGUUGUGAAAUGGUUUGGCUUAACCGGUUGAUGGGGUGGAAACUGGAUGACUGGAGUGCUGGAGAGGCAAGUGGAAUUCCCAGUGUAGGGGUGAAAUGCUUAGAUAUUUGGAAGAACACCGGUGGCGAAGGCGUCUUGCUGGCCAGCAACUGACGCUGAGGCUCGAAAGCCAGGGGAGCAAACGG